rnacentral:rRNA from 1 species
GUCCACGCUGUAAACGAUGAGUACUAGAUAUCGGGAUGAACAUUUCGGUGUUGUAGCUAACGCGUUAAGUACUCCGCCUGGGGACUACGGUCGCAAGAUUAAAACUCAAAGGAAUUGACGGGGACCCGCACAAGCGGUGGAUUAUGUGGUUUAAUUCGAUGCAACGCGAAGAACCUUACCAACCUUUGACAUGGUGGUCGUAGGGCCUAGAGAUAGGCCCGUCAGUUCGGCUGGACCACACACAGGUGUUGCAUGGCUGUCGU